GAAAUGCGAUAAGUAGUGUGAAUUGCAGAAUUCAGUGAAUCAUCGAAUCUUUGAACGCACAUUGCGCCCUUUGGUAUUCCAAAGGGCAUGCCUGUUCGAGCGUCAUUUGUACCCUCAAGCUUUGCUUGGUGUUGGGCGUCUUGUCUCUAGCUUUGCUGGAGACUCGCCUUAAAGUAAUUGGCAGCCGGCCUACUGGUUUCGGAGCGCAGCACAAGUCGCACUCUCUAUCAGCAAAGGUCUAGCAUCCAUUAAGCCUUUUUUUCAACUUUUGACCUCGGAUCCGGUAGGGAUACCCGCUGAACUUAAGC
rnacentral:misc_RNA from 1 species